GACGACGCUGGCGGCGUGCCUAAUACAUGCAAGUAGGACGAGUUGCGAACGGGUGAGUAACGCGUGGUAACCUGCCUAUUAGAGGGGGAUAACUAUUGGAAACGAUAGCUAAUACCGCCUACUAGUAGAUGGACCUGCGUUGUAUUAGCUAGUAGGUAGGGUAAAGGCCUACCUAGGCGACGAUCCCUAGCUGGUUGGAGAGGAGGACCAGCCACACUGGAACUGAGACACGGUCCAGACUCCUACGCGAGGCAGCAGUGGGGAAUAUUGCACAAUGGGCACAAGCCUGAUGCAGCCAUGCCGCGUGUAUGAAGAAGGCCUCCGGGUUGUAAAGUACUUUCAGCGGGGAGGCGUUACCCGCAGAAGAAGCACCGGCUAACUCCGUGCCAGCAGCCGCGGUAAUAC
rnacentral:rRNA from 1 species